CGCCGCUAUAGCUCCAAUUGGUCAGAGCGCUUGCUUGUCACGCAAGAGGCUACGGGUUCGAGGCCCGUUAGUGGCGCCAA
rnacentral:tRNA from 1 species